CCGCUGUUUAUAUCUUACAUACUCGCAGACAUUCACUGUUAUAUUAUUUCUUCCCCAUUUUUAAAAUAAAUUACGUAGUAUUUUAUUUGAUAUUGUAUUAUAUAUUUCUUUGUAUUAUUUUAUUAACAUAGUAGUUACACAUUUGUAUUUCUGUAUGAUAACCAAAACUUCUUCAUAGAAAUAAUAAAAUCGCCAAUAUAAAUGUUAUAUAAACGACGAGGGAUCAACAAGAAAUUGUAUAUGAAAUAGCCAUGACGUAUCAAGAGAGAAGAGACAACUCACAACAAAAUACACAGGGUAUUUUUGUGCUAGCGAGAUAACGGCGUGAGAUGGGUGCAAUAUUUUCCUUUUUUCAAAAGUUAACAAUUAUUUAUUUGUAAUAACAAUCAACCUUCCAGUUAUGGACGAUUAUUAAUUAUGCGGGGACCUUUAACUCUCAAAAUUUGAAUGUCUCCCACAUAUAUAACCUUCUUACAAAGUUUUGCUAAAAUAGGUCUGUACCUUUCUUCGUAAUCUUGCUUACAAACAUCGAUAGAGGAGUCUCAUUCCUCUACGCAUUCUUCUUGUUUCUCUCGGUCGCCCUGGAUUUCCGGUAUUGAAUAGUUUGUGUCUUUCAACCUCGUCAAGACACAACACAUAGCUUUCGAGAACAAGAUUACUAGGCUAGAUUACAUUUAUUAGCGGAAGUAUGGAUUCCCAAUGUCCUGAAACAUGGAGUUGAUGAAGAGGAUGGAUGACUGAAUAGAAGUAGACAUUUAUAAAAUAAUAAUUGGUCUAAAAAAAUCCCUGUGGAUUUUGUUUGAGAGAGUACUGCAAAAGUGGAGGUGUAACUAGUAAUCAUGGGAACACUGCACGAAGAUCCUUUCAAAAUUCUCCAAACUUUGCUGAAAUUACUUUAGUUGACCUUAAGUUCAUUGAAAGACUCGACACUAUUUUUUAAGUGAUAUCUACAAACACUCAUAUAAAUGUCUAUAAAUUUCAUGAUUACUUUAUCAAAACGGACGAAAUUUAUGUCGAUCUUGAUAAUUGGUACAUUGACCUUCGCAGAUCAGAUUCACCAUCUUCUGAUAAGAAGUGACCACUUACUAUUUUACUUUA
rnacentral:lncRNA from 1 species